rnacentral:misc_RNA from 1 species
GAUGAAGAACGUAGCGAAAUGCGAUAAGUAAUGUGAAUUGCAGAAUUCAGUGAAUCAUCGAAUCUUUGAACGCACAUUGCGCCCGCCAGUAUUCUGGCGGGCAUGCCUGUUCGAGCGUCAUUUCAACCCUCAGGCCCCCAGUGCCUGGUGUUGGGGAUCGGCCCAGCCUUCCUGUAAGGCCGCCGGCCCCGAAAUCUAGUGGCGGUCUCGCUGUAGUCCUCCUCUGCGUAGUAGCACAACCUCGCAGUUGGAACGCGGCGGUGGCCAUGCCGUUAAACACCCCACUUCUGAAAGUUGACCUCGGAUCAGGUAGGAACACCCGCUGAACUUAAGCAUAUCAAUAAGCGGAGGA